CUUACACGCGCGCUAUGAACAGCAGCAACGACGACAAAAAAAGGCUGGAAAGCUGUAGAUCAGCAAUAAAAGAGCAGGCGGCGUCGGGGCAUGCGGGAUCCACAAAAGAACAGGAUGUUGUUGAUUUGUAACGAAACCGCUCGGAGGAAAUGAGUGUGAGUUUUCCUUUGAGCGCUCCUGCCGUCCUCCCUGCCCCCGCGGAUCAACCCGCAGCUCGCGGCUGGACUAAAGCUGUCACAGGUUAAUUGACGGCCUCCGCGUUCGUCCUCAUUUCCAUGACAACACGGACCUCGAUUUCCUGACUAAGGCUAAAUUCAUUCACAAAACACUCGGGUCAACAUGGUCAGAGUGACUGAGCCCAGCAGAGUACUGUAAUUAAACCAGGCACAUCUGUCCUGAUUAGCCAUGCCGGGGUCGAUGGCGAACACACAGCAGCCCUUUUGAUGGACCUGGGGACAGUGCGACAUGGAACACUUCCUGGGCUGAAUAGCACCCCGACACUCGACACCUGGGACAGUGGCGCUACACCGUUGGCACCAGGCCAAGCCCGAUGAGGCACCUUUGUGUACCCAGUCACAGAAAACCUACCUGGAAAGAUCUCUCCGUGCUGGUUCCCAUGCAUUGCUCCACUCUAGCCUGCAUCCCCUUUGUGCCAAACUGACUUGGGACUUGUUUCAAUCUGGACUAUACUUCCUCUCUCUGUAUAAAAAAAAAAAAAAUGAAAAGAAAAGAAAGAAAACGCAUGCAUGCACUUGGCUUCUUUGCCAUGCCCUGGGGCAGUCAGGCACUGCACAUACUUUGUUGUAGAUGUAAAAACAAUUUCUGGGAUUAAUUUGCUGGCCUUGUUCAUGUUGUUGAACAAGAGGUGUCUAGUUUCAUGCUUUAUUUACUGUUGCUUGUCAUGUCUUUAUGUACACUUAGGUUAAAAAGCUUCGGCAGAAAAAGACAGGUUUGACAUAGCAGAAAGUCAAUAAUACAGAGGAAGCACUACUCCUCUGUUCAGCCUACAUAGUGAAAAGCAUAUGCACUAAUGUUAUUAAAAGUGAUAUGAUAACCAUGAAAAACUGUGCCCAUUAAUAGAAAACAGAAGAGAGGAGUAAGAAAACGCCAAACCACAACAAGGCAUGGAAUGACUAGCAUGUGUGUAGGGGCCACUAUGUGUCCAUUAGUGCCAAGGUUCUGCCUCGGGAGUCCCUGUCGGUUUGGGCCGAACCCACCGGUUCGUCCGGCUCCUCAG
ensembl:lncRNA